rnacentral:rRNA from 1 species
GCCAGACUCCUACGGGAGGCAGCAGUGGGGGAUAUUGCACAAUGGGGGGAACCCUGAUGCAGCGACGCCGCGUGGGUGAAGAAGCGCCUCGGCGCGUAAAGCCCUGUCAGCAGGGAAGAAAAUGACGGUACCUGAAGAAGAAGCCCCGGCUAACUACGUGCCAGCAGCCGCGGUAAUACGUAGGGGGCAAGCGUUAUCCGGAUUUACUGGGUGUAAAGGGAGCGUAGACGGCAGCGCAAGUCUGAAGUGAAAUGCCAGGGCUUAACCCUGGAACUGCUUUGGAAACUGUGCAGCUAGAGUGCAGGAGAGGUAAGUGGAAUUUCUAGUGUAGCGGUGAAAUGCGUAGAUAUUAGGAGGAACACCAGUGGCGAAGGCGGCUUACUGGACUGUAACUGACGUUGAGGCUCGAAAGCGUGGGGAGCAAACAGGAUUAGAUACCCCUGUACC